UACGUAGGGGGCUAGCGUUGUCCGGAUUUAUUGGGCGUAAAGAGCGUGUAGGCGGCCAGGUAGGUCUGCUGUGAAAACUCGAGGCUCAACCUCGAGACGUCGGUUGAAACCACCUGGCUAGAGUCCGGAAGAGGAGAGUGGAAUUCCCGGUGUAGCGGUGAAAUGCGCAGAUAUCGGGAAGAACACCCGUGGCGAAGGCGGCUCUCUGGGACGGUACUGACGCUGAGACGCGAAAGCGUGGGGAGCGAACAGG
rnacentral:rRNA from 1 species